CGAAACCGAGAGGAAGCAGGAGCCGCGCGUGACUGCAAAUACCCUCAGCUCGUCUUUACGCCGUUUUGUUUCAGGUUGCUAGGCAGCGUGUAGUCGCGAACGGGUGACGUCAUUGCCAAAGCGACACGUUCCGAAGACGGUGUUACCAUAGAAACAAACCUCGUAUACACAAGAGAGGAACCAUUGGAUGAUACUUUGGAACAAAAUAGAACAUGCCAACCCAUACCAUUAAUUGGGUUAUGUAUAGAGGAUAUCAGGAACAAAUUGGAUAAUAUUAAGAAAAAAAUAUGGCUGAAGGAGACCAUCUGAUCUCUGUGGAUUAUGAGGUGUUUGGAAAGGUACAAGGAGUUUUCUUCCGCAAGUACACUCAGG